UGGUGAAAGAGACCCAGAUAAAUCACUGGGGGACAUGAGAUUUUUUGUGAGGUGUCUGCAGCUCCAAAUUAGACUCUGGAUCUCAGGUAGCUCCUCGGAGGCAGUCACAGAUGUUUAAGACAAAAAUACCAGUCUGAAAAGAAGCCAAGGAGCCUGUUUUGGUUGCUGCCUGUACAUAACUAUGUGGUUAUUACAAAAGCCCUAACAUGCCACGGUCAAAGAGGAAGGCAGAAGGCAGGAUGAGAUGCUGUAAAGAGCCUUUGGCUCUGUCACAAGCCUUGAGCCUGUGGAGGAAGCUCUUUCCCUCAGAUCGGCCACCAGCUGACACUUCGGCUUGA
rnacentral:lncRNA from 1 species